CCCACUUAGUUGUAUUUUUUUUCCCCUUUAGUUAUCUGGCACUUCCACCAUUUUCCUGAACAAGAAAUCAUCGUGGGAAAGUCCAGAUCAGGCUCUCAGUCUACCAAGGCUGACCAGAGAACACCAACCUUCCGGCAGGAUCCCAUUAGCCCCGUGAAGGAAUGAAGACAUUGGAUUGUGGAGACGUCCGGUUGUUCAUAGGGAUGCUGAGUACCAUGCACAACUACUGUGGUGAUUUGGAAGCGCCAAGGCUGUGAUCCCGAAUCAAUCUUCCUCCUGGGGUUUAUGCCAGAUAUACGUCACAGGGAUGAGAAAUGAACAAC